rnacentral:rRNA from 1 species
AUACGGAGGAUCCGAGCGUUAUCCGGAUUUAUUGGGUUUAAAGGGUGCGCAGGCGGCCAUUUAAGUCAGCGGUUAAAUCGUGGGGCUCAACCCCAUUCUGCCGUUGAUACUGGGUGGCUUGAUUGCGGUCGAGGUUGGCGGAAUUCGUUGUGUAGCGGUGAAAUGCAUAGAUAUGACGAAGAACACCGAUUGCGGAGGCAGCAGACCAGACCGCAAAUGACGCUCAUGCACGAAAGUGCGGGGAUCGAACAGGAGUAGAUACCCUGGUAGUCCGCACAGUAAACGAUGAAUACUUGUUUUCGGCGAUAUAAUGUCGGAGGCAAAGCGAAAGCGAUAAGUAUUCCACCUGGGGAGUACGCCGGCAACGGUGAAACUUAAAGGAAUUGACGGGG